CAACGACCGUGCAUACCUUCCUUGCACCGCCACCGCUCCCUCCCACGCCCAGCCGCCGCCGGCUGUAGGCCCCCCUCUCCCUCUCUCACUCCCAGCCGCUCUCUUGCUCUCUCUCUCUCCCUCUGCAGAUCUUCAAUCGCGCCCAAAUCUCCAGAUCUCGCGUGUCCUCUCCCUCGAAGCCACACACAACAACUUUCAAACCCCGGUGCUUCCGAAAAAUCCAUCGGGUAUUGGUAUUAAGGAAAGGUAUCACCUUGUGCUGAGACAGGAGCUUUCAGGGUUCUUUGUGAAUUUUUUUAGAGCUUUUGAUUUCUAUCUGGGGCCUGGAGUUUGGAGAGCUUGAUAGGUGAAGAUGCUAACAUAUGGAGAAUCCAGAAUUCACUUGAAGAGGGGCUUUUCCAUCGGAUCGAAAUGCACAGAUUGAAAGCAUUUUGACAGAGCAUUGCAGAUCGAUGAACUCUUACAUGUGAUAUGGACGGAUCUUUAGCCUUUUCAUGGAUCACGAACAUGGAACUUUGAGCUCCAUCAGAUAUGGUCGGUUCAUGCUUCCUAAAUCUGGGUUUUGUUGAAAUGAGGGCCUGAAGAUCUGUAUAUCUCAAGACUGAGAGAUUAAAGAUGAUAUGUCUAAAGGAGGAGAAAAAACCUGAAGAGAGGAAAGCUCAUGCUCUGUUUGAGGUGAGUUUCUGUUUGAUCACUGGAGCAUCCUUAUUUUGAUUAUCUUCAAUGGUCUAAGUGUUGCUUAAAACUAGCUAUAAGAAUCGUGCAAUUUCAUGAAGCUACUGUCUCCAUUAGAUUUACUGUCAUUGGUUCUCAGGAGGACAAGUACAAGUGCUUACAAAGGACAAGUGCUUAAGGAGGACAAAAAUCUGACGUGUCCUUAGCUGAGCACCCCUCCACGUGUCAUAUUCUCACCCCUCCACGUGUCAUAUUCUCAGACGGUUUUAUAUGGAAGUCCUUUUAGUCUUCACUUUAGCAGAACCCGUUUGUUGAUGCUUUCCCAUUUCGUUGGCCACAGAUUUGCUCAAUGUCAAUUACGGGUCUCGCACAAAUCAAAUUUCUUGGCGCUAUAGAUCUCCAGUUGUAUAAAUUCAGUCCAAGCCAAGCGUAUCAACCACACUCAUUCACAAACAAAGCAAUUCACAAAUCGACUCCCACCACCACCGAAACCCCCAACCAUCUCGCCGUCGCCAGAAAAAGCGACUUGCGAUUCGAGAACCCCAUCCUCAACUCGCUCGACUCCAAAUUGAACGGUCUCUUGGCUGAAGCCUCUUCCGAAGAAAAUCCGGCCAGUCCACGGUUCAUUUUUUUUCACCAGAGACCUUCACACUCAAUUGUGCUUUUACGAUGAGACUAUUGUUCAAAUGAUCGAAAAGAAAGGGAGAUUGUGAAAGAUGAAUUCUAGCAAGGAAGUGGCUUACUGAUUUGGCUUAUGGUAUGUCUGUUGUUUGAUUAUCUGCUAUGGACAAAUUCUAAUGCCAUCCUCUC